CAAGAAUUCUUUGGAAAUGGUGUCUGUUGUCAGUAGCAAUUAGAGUGACCGAGAUGAGCUCUGCUUUUUUUUUUUUUUUUUUUUUUUUUCCAUUCCUUAGCCAUCUACAAACUGGAUUACCAAGCAGUUUUUAAAAUCUACUUCUGCCCAUAUUCUGAAAUGCUGGAAGAAUAUAAAUUUUUUUUUUAAAUAUCAUUUUGAAAACAGUGUAAAAGUGAGUUUCCUCACUUGAUGGUAAAGCUGGAAAUUGUAACACCUUACCUAAGACAUAACCAAAGGGCAAAUAUCAAGUCAGAUAUUAGCAAUAUAAAAUAAUGAGAUUCCCUGAUAGCUAAACUGGAUAAUACUGAUUUAUAAAGGGAAGGCAACUCCAAAAAUUACAAAAAAAAAAAAAAAAUCUCUACUAUUUUUAACAUUUACAAGCUACGCGGGAAUUACUUUGAUUCACCUAAAUUCCAUGAGAACCAGCUUACCUUCCUGUGUUGACAUUUUGGAUGUGAACUUCUUCCUUCUGACUUUGAGAAAUAUCAUGGCCCCAUUAUACAAAUGACAAGAUCAUUCCUCAAUUGAUUCUGUGUCUACUAUGCCCAGGAGAAUUUGCCUGGCUGGCGUUUUAACUUCAAUUGCUUAAAAAAAUUAAACCAGGAUCCCUUUUUAUAUUUCACUUUUUAUGUUGAAAAAAAAUAACAAAACACCAUAUUUUCAACUCCUAAACUGUGGAAGAACUGACACCUCAGUAGAGGGGGAAUUUAUCAGGACUAUGAAACACCAGUCUGAGGCAUUGUUUCUUUUCUUUUCUUUUUUAAUUUCAUUUUAUUGUGGUAAGAACAAUGAAUGAGAUCUACUCUCCUAACAAAAUGUUAAGUAUACAAUACUGUACUAUAACUAUAGGCGCAAUGUUAUACAGAAGAUCUCUAGAACUUAUUCACCUUGCAGUAAGGAAACUUUAUGCCCAUUAAACAAGCAUGAUUUCUUACACCAGCAUUGUCAGUGAAGUCAGUGAAGUUGCUAGAAGCUCAAGUCACACAGCCCCCUGUGAUUGAAGCCUGGCUCCACUGGCUGUGUGACUUGUGGGCAAGUUACUUAACCUCUCUGUGCCUCAUUUACUUCUUCUAUAAAAAGAAUUACAUAAGUCAUAUAUUUUGUAUGUUUGUGCAUGUAUAUGUGUGUAUAUAUGUGUGUAUAUAUGUAUUUUAUAUAUGCAUGUGUGCUUACAUAUAUAUAUAUGGCAAAUAGAACCAAUGCCAAGGAGAUAACUGAUAUAAAAGUAUUUGCUAUCAUUAUUGCUGACUAACAGCAAAGCUGAAGCAAUGGCACUCUUGAAGAACAUUAAAAAAGGAAAAUGUAGGAGUGCCUGGAUGGCUCAGUUGGUUAAGCAUCCAACUCUUGAUUUCAGUUCUGGUCAUGAUCUCAAGGUCGUAAGAUCGAGCCUCAGGUCCAGCUCCAUGGAACCUGCUUGAAUAAAGAUACAAGAGGGCUGAGAUUCUCACAACUUGAGAUUCUCUAACUUUCUCUCUCUUUCUUUCUCUCUCUCUGCCUAAGAGAAAUAAAAAUAGAAAAAAGAAAGGAAAAUGUAUAUACAAUUCUAUUUGUCAAUUAUUCCUCAAUAAGCUACGAGACAAAAAGAAAAGAAAAUGCAACACCUCAUCUUUGUUUCCCAGCUCUUCACCUAAACCCUGUCACAGAGUCCAAGGCCAGAUGGCAUUGUCCAAUCUCUUAUGAUUUAGAUAUAUAUAAUAUGAAGAAAAUAAAAUUCACCCAUCCUUAAUCUCCACAAACUUUAUUCUGAAGAAUCUAGAACUCUAAAUAACACAUUAAGUAAAAUAAUACCUAAUAAAAUACCCAACACAUAUACGUAUACUCUCCUGUAUAACACACACA